UACAGAGGGGGCAAGCGUUGUUCGGAAUUACUGGGCGUAAAGGGCGCGUAGGCGGCCUGUUAAGUCGAACGUGAAAUCCCCGGGCUCAACCCGGGAACUGCGUCCGAUACUGGCAGGCUUGAAUCCGGGAGAGGGAUGCGGAAUUCCAGGUGUAGCGGUGAAAUGCGUAGAUAUCUGGAGGAACACCGGUGGCGAAGGCGCAUCCUGGACCGGGCAUUGACGCUGAGGCGCGAAAGCCGGGGAGCAAACGGGG
rnacentral:rRNA from 1 species